UUCACGGAGAGUUUGAUCCUGGCUCAGGACGAACGCUGGCGGCGUGCUUAACACAUGCAAGUCGAACGAUGAACCUCCUUCGGGAGGGGAUUAGUGGCGAACGGGUGAGUAACACGUGGGCAAUCUGCCCUUCACUCUGGGACAAGCCCUGGAAACGGGGUCUAAUACCGGAUACGACCUCCGACCGCAUGGUCUGGUGGUGGAAAGCUCCGGCGGUGAAGGAUGAGCCCGCGGCCUAUCAGCUUGUUGGUGGGGUGAUGGCCUACCAAGGCGACGACGGGUAGCCGGCCUGAGAGGGCGACCGGCCACACUGGGACUGAGACACGGCCCAGACUCCUACGGGAGGCAGCAGUGGGGAAUAUUGCACAAUGGGCGAAAGCCUGAUGCAGCGACGCCGCGUGAGGGAUGACGGCCUUCGGGUUGUAAACCUCUUUCAGCAGGGAAGAAGCGAGAGUGACGGUACCUGCAGAAGAAGCGCCGGCUAACUACGUGCCAGCAGCCGCGGUA
rnacentral:ncRNA from 1 species